UACGAAGGGGGCUAGCGUUGUUCGGAAUUACUGGGCGUAAAGCGCACGUAGGCGGGUCGUUAAGUCAGGGGUGAAAUCCCGGAGCUCAACUCCGGGAACUGCCUUUGAUACUGGCGAUCUUGAGAUCGGAAGAGGUGAGUGGAAUUCCCAGUGUAAAGGUGAAAUUCGUAGAUAUUGGGAAGAACACCAGUGGCGAAGGCGGCUCACUGGUCCGAUACUGACGCUGAGGUGCGAAAGCGUGGGGAGCAAACAGG
rnacentral:rRNA from 1 species